rnacentral:rRNA from 1 species
GAUGAACGCUGGCGGCGUGCCUAAUACAUGCAAGUCGAGCGAACGGACGAGAAGCUUGCUUUUCUGAUGUUAGCGGCGGACGGGUGAGUAACACGUGGAUAACCUACCUAUAAGACUGGGAUAACUUCGGGAAACCGGAGCUAAUACCGGAUAAUAUUUUGAACCGCAUGGUUCAAAAGUGAAAGACGGUCUUGCUUUCACUUAUAGAUGGAUCCGCGCUGCAUUAGCUAGUUGGUAAGGUAACGACUUACCAAGGCAACGAUGCAUAGCCGACCUGAGAGAGUGAUCGGCCACACUGGAUCUGAGAAACGGUCCAGACUCCUACUGGAGGCAGCAGUAGGGAAUCCUCGGCAAUGGGCGAAAGCCUGACGAAGCAACGCCGCAUCAGUCAUGAGGGUCGUCGGAUCAUAAAACUCUGUUAUUAGGGAAGACCAUUUGUGUAAGUAACUGUGCACAUCAUGACGGUACCUAGUCAGAAAGCCACGACUAACUACGUG